UACAGAGGAGCCAAGCGUUGUCCGGAUUGACUGGGCGUAAAGCGCACGCAGGCGGAUGCGCGCGUGGGGUGUGAAAUCUGGCCGCUUAACGGCCAGGCGCCAUCCCAUACGGCGCGUCUGGAGUGAUGCAGAGGUCGAUGGAAUUGCCGGUGUAGUGGUGAAAUGCGCAGAGAUCGGCAGGAACACCAGGGGGAAACCAGUCGACUGGGCAUCUACUGACGCUGAGGUGCGAGAGCGUGGGGAGCGAACCGG
rnacentral:rRNA from 1 species